rnacentral:rRNA from 1 species
AGCCACCCUCUAGCCCAACCACUUUUACAAUCAAGCACAGUUAAAAAUCUACUUAUUCCACCAAACUAAAACAUUCUUCCAACUUAGUAUAGGCGAUAGAAAAGUCCACCUACUUGGCGCGAUAGAGACUUGUACCGCAAGGGAAAGAUGAAAUAAUAAUGAAAACCCAAGCAAUAAACAGCAAAGAUAAACCCUUGUACCUCUUGCAUCAUGAUUUAGCGAGAACAACCAAGCAAAACGAAUUUAAGUUUGUCCCCCCGAAACCCAAGCGAGCUACUCACAAGCAGCUAUCCCUGAGCGAACCCGUCUCUGUAGCAAAAGAGUGGGACGACUUGUUAGUAGAGGUGAAAAGCCAACCGAGCUGGGUGAUAGCUGGUUGCCUGUGAAAUGAAUCUAAGUUCUCUCUUGACUCUCCCCUAAUGGACACCCCAUCAACCGACAUGUAAUGAAUCAAGAGCUAUUUAAAGGGGGUACAGCUCCUUUAAAAAAGAAUACAACCUCCCCUAGCGGAUAACAGCCUGAUUAUACCCCAACAUGUAGGCCUUCAAGCAGCCACCAACAAAGAGUGCGUCAAAGCUCUCCACCUAAAAAAUCCAAAAACACUAAGAUUCCCUUCACAUUAACAGGCUAACCUAUGACUAUAGGAGAAUUCAUGCUAAAAUGAGUAACUAGGGACCUCCCCUCUUGAGCGCAAGCUUACACAUCAUGUUAUUAACAGAUUACAGUUAAUACCUAAAUUCUAACAAGACUGAGUAUUAAAUCUACCCUGUUAACCCAACCCAGGUGCGCCUAUUAGAAAGAUUAAAACCUGCAAAAGGAACUCGGCAAACCCAAGGCCCGACUGUUUACCAAAAACAUAGCCUUCAGCAAACCAAGUAUUGAAGGUGAUGCCUGCCCAGUGACAUCACGUUUAACGGCCGCGGUAUCCUAACCGUGCGAAGGUAGCGCAAUCAAUUGUCCCAUAAAUCGAGACUUGUAUGAAUGGCUAAACGAGGUCUUAACUGUCUCUUGCAGGUAAUCAGUGAAAUUGAUCUUCCCGUGCAAAAGCGGGAAUAUGAACAUAAGACGAGAAGACCCUGUGGAACUUAAAAAUCAACGGCCACCUUACACAAACUUAAACCUAUACAGGCCCACUAAAAUCAAAAACGCUGGCCCGCAUUUUUCGGUUGGGGCGACCUUGGAGAAAAACAAACCCUCCAAAAAUAAGACCACACCUCUUAACCAAGAGCAACCCCUCAACGUACUAACAGUAACCAGACCCAAUAUAAUUGACCAAUGGACCAAGCUACCCCAGGGAUAACAGCGCAAUCUCCUCCAAGAGCCCAUAUCGACGAGGAGGUUUACGACCUCGAUGUUGGAUCAGGACAUCCUAAUGGUGCAGCCGCUAUUAAGGGUUCGUUUGUUCAACGAUUAACAGUCCUACGUGAUCUGAGUUCAGACCGGAGCAAUCCAGGUCGGUUUCUAUCUAUGACCAACUCCCCCUAGUACGAAAGGACCGGGGAAGUGAGGCCAAUGCUACAAGCAUGCCUCCCCUCUAAGUAAUGAACCCAACUAAAUUACCAAAAGGUCACCCACAUUACCUCGUCCUAGAAAAGGACC